rnacentral:rRNA from 1 species
UUAUCGGAGAGUUUGAUCCUGGCUCAGGACGAACGCUGGCGGCGUGCCUAAUACAUGCAAGUCGAGCGGACAGAUGGGAGCUUGCUCCCUGAUGUUAGCGGCGGACGGGUGAGUAACACGUGGGUAACCUGC